AUUGAACGCUGGCGGCAUGCCUUACACAUGCAAGUCGAACGGUAACAGGUCUUCGGACGCUGACGAGUGGCGAACGGGUGAGUAAUACAUCGGAACGUGCCCGAUCGUGGGGGAUAACGAGGCGAAAGCUUUGCUAAUACCGCAUACGAUCUACGGAUGAAAGCGGGGGAUCUUCGGACCUCGCGCGGACGGAGCGGCCGAUGGCAGAUUAGGUAGUUGGUGGGAUAAAAGCUUACCAAGCCGACGAUCUGUAGCUGGUCUGAGAGGAUGAUCAGCCACACUGGGACUGAGACACGGCCCAGACUCCUACGGGAGGCAGCAGUGGGGAAUUUUGGACAAUGGGCGAAAGCCUGAUCCAGCCAUGCCGCGUACAGGAUGAAGGCCUUCGGGUUGUAAACUGCUUUUGUACGGAACGAAAAGCCUCUUUCUAAUAAAGAGGGGUCAUGACGGUACCGUAAGAAUAAGCACCGGCUAACUACGUG
rnacentral:rRNA from 1 species